rnacentral:rRNA from 2 species
CACGUAGGGUGCAAGCGUUGUCCGGAUUUAUUGGGCGUAAAGGGCUCGUAGGCGGUUCGACAAGUCGGGUGUGAAACCUCCAGGCUCAACCUGGAGUCGCCACUCGAAACUGUUGUGACUAGAGUCCGGUAGGGGAGCAUGGAAUUCCUGGUGUAGCGGUGGAAUGCGCAGAUAUCAGGAGGAACACCAGUGGCGAAGGCGAUGCUCUGGGCCGGUACUGACGCUGAGGAGCGAAAGCAUGGGGAGCGAACAGG